AAAAGAAGAGUGGCGAACGGGUGAGUAACACGUGGGUAACCUGCCCAUCAGAAGGGGAUAACACUUGGAAACAGGUGCUAAUACCGUAUAACAAUCGAAACCGCAUGGUUUUGAUUUGAAAGGCGCUUUCGGGUGUCGCUGAUGGAUGGACCCGCGGUGCAUUAGCUAGUUGGUGAGGUAACGGCUCACCAAGGCCACGAUGCAUAGCCGACCUGAGAGGGUGAUCGGCCACAUUGGGACUGAGACACGGCCCAAACUCCUACGGGAGGCAGCAGUAGGGAAUCUUCGGCAAUGGACGAAAGUCUGACCGAGCAACGCCGCGUGAGUGAAGAAGGUUUUCGGAUCGUAAAACUCUGUUGUUAGAGAAGAACAAGGAUGAGAGUAACUGUUCAUCCCUUGACGGUAUCUAACCAGAAAGCCACGGCUAACUACGUGCCAGCAGCCGCGGUAAUACGUAGGUGGCAAGCGUUGUCCGGAUUUAUUGGGCGUAAAGCGAGCGCAGGCGGUUUCUUAAGUCUGAUGUGAAAGCCCCCGGCUCAACCGGGGAGGGUCAUUGGAAACUGGGAGACUUGAGUGCAGAAGAGGAGAGUGGAAUUCCAUGUGUAGCGGUGAAAUGCGUAGAUAUAUGGAGGAACACCAGUGGCGAAGGCGGCUCUCUGGUCUGUAACUGACGCUGAGGCUCGAAAGCGUGGGGAGCAAACAGGAUUAGAUACCCUGGUAGUCCACGCCGUAAACGAUGAGUGCUAAGUGUUGGAGGGUUUCCGCCCUUCAGUGCUGCAGCUAACGCAUUAAGCACUCCGCCUGGGGAGUACGACCGCAAGGUUGAAACUCAAAGGAAUUGACGGGGGCCCGCACAAGCGGUGGAGCAUGUGGUUUAAUUCGAAGCAACGCGAAGAACCUUACCAGGUCUUGACAUCCUUUGACCACUCUAGAGAUAGAGCUUCCCCUUCGGGGGCAAAGUGACAGGUGGUGCAUGGUUGUCGUCAGCUCGUGUCGUGAGAUGUUGGGUUAAGUCCCGCAACGAGCGCAACCCUUAUUGUUAGUUGCCAUCAUUUAGUUGGGCACUCUAGCAAGACUGCCGGUGACAAACCGGAGGAAGGUGGGGAUGACGUCAAAUCAUCAUGCCCCUUAUGACCUGGGCUACACACGUGCUACAAUGGGAAGUACAACGAGUCGCGAAGUCGCGAGGCUAAGCUAAUCUCUUAAAGCUUCUCUCAGUUCGGAUUGUAGGCUGCAACUCGCCUACAUGAAGCCGGAAUCGCUAGUAAUCGCGGAUCAGCACGCCGCGGUGAAUACGUUCCCGGGCCU
rnacentral:rRNA from 1 species